GGUGUUGAUGACGGUGAGGAUCCACCUGUUCCCAUCCCGAACACAGAAGUUAAGCUCACUGGUGCCGAAAAUACUUGGCUGGAAGCGGCCCGGGAAAAUAGGUAAAUGCC
rnacentral:rRNA from 1 species